ensembl:lncRNA
AUGGAUUCCCACAGCACUGGGGAUGUAUCCCAGCAGCACUGGGAGUGUAUUCCUGUACCAGUGGGAAUGGAUUCCUGCAGCACUGGGAAUUUAUUCCAAUAUCACUGGGAAUUUAUUCCCACAGCAUUGGGAAUUUAUUCCAGUACCACUGGGAAUGUGUUCCUGCACCACUGGGGAUGUAUUCCAGUUCUACUGGGAAUGAAUUCCCACAGCACUGGGAGUGUAUUCCAGCAGCACUGGGAAUUUAUUCCCACAGCAUUGGGAUUGCAGCCCAGUACCACUGGGAAUGUAUUCCAGUUCCACUGGGAAUUUAUUCCAGUACUACUGGGAAUGUAUUCCAAUAUCACUGGGAAUUUAUUCCCACAGCAUUGGGAAUGUAUCCCUGCACCACUGGGAAUUUAUUCCAGUACUACUGGGAAUGUGUUCCUGCACCUGUGGGAAUUAAUUCCCCCAGCACUGGGAAUGUAUUCCUGUCCCAUUGGGAAUGUAUUCCAGCAGCACUGGGAAUGUGUUCCAAUAUCACUGGGAAUUUAUUCCCACAGCAUUGGGAAUGUGUCCCAGUACCACCAGUGGGAAUGUAUCCCAGUACCAAUGGGAAUUUAUUCCAGCAUCCCUGGGAAUUUAUUCCAGCAUCCCUGGGAAUGUGUCCCAGCAGCACCAGGAAUGUGUCCCAGCACUUCCACGCUGCCUCUCCACCCCCACUCCUCAGUGGCACCUUGGGAUGACGCACUGGGGGCUGGAGUUGCCCCUCCCGGUGCCCAUUUCGUGCCCGCCCAGCCCCAGCCCCGGGCCGGGGUGGCACUGGGGCUGUCCCCAGGGGCUGUGUCCCCUCUGUCACCGCUCACCAGUGCAGGCUCCUGCCAGGGGAGGGGGAGGCUGCAGCUCUCACGUCCCCGUGGAAUGAUGUACAAUGACUUGAAGCUCUGUAUUCCUUUCCUCUGGAAGUAAAUGGGAGAAAAUCCUCGGUGUUUUCUGCCUGUGUGUGACCAAAGGGGAUGGGAGGGACCCGGGGGCCUCCUGUGCUUUGUCCCUGCUCCAGCUGCUGAUCCAGCUGUGCUGGCAUCCAGGGAUAGCCCUGGGCUGCUUUAUCCAAACCCAAACUGAGCACCUGCUCCACCAGACUGACCUGGGUGUAAAAACCCCAUUAUUAAAUAUUACCACAUUUAAUAAUUUGUCUGUUUUUCCUGAGCAGGCUCUGCUGCUUUUUGGGUGGCACUGCCUUCAUUCCUGAUGUCAUUGUGGACACAAUUCCUGCUUUUCCUUAUCUUUCCCUUUCUUUUUUAUCUCAAACCUGCACUUUGAAGGCUCACAGUCACAACCCUUUGCCCAUGGAGAAAAGGAAAUCAGUUCUGAUGCACCCCUUGCUUUUGUACCAGACAAUUCCUAAAGCUGAUUUUGGGGCAGUUUUUCACCCAGCAUCUUGUUCUAAUUGUCAUUAAGCAGCCCAGACUGGGAGCCUGGUACUGGUUUUCCCUCUGCCUGAAGAAAAUCAAUGUAAAUUGAGUGGCCUGCAGGAUAAAAACCCAAAUUCCCCUCUGAAACCACAAUGCCUAAACCAGGAAUCCCCAGGCUGUUGAUGCUGUUUCCUCUGGCUGAGGUUUGAUCUGAUCCCUGGAGAGCUCCCUGGAUGUUUUACAGGGCUCAGGUCUCACCUACAACCUGGAUUUUUGUUUUUCAAGUCUGACUCCCCCUCCUUCCUCCCCUGAUCUCAGAACUUGUCCCUUCCCUGGAAAUUCCUGCAGGAAUAAACACUCCCCAUAAUCCUGGGAUGCA